UGGGGAAUAUUGCACAAUGGGCGCAAGCCUGAUGCAGCGACGCCGCGUGAGGGAUGACGGCCUUCGGGUUGUAAACCUCUUUCAGUAGGGACGAAGCGCAAGUGACGGUACCUACAGAAGAAGGACCGGCCAACUACGUGCCAGCAGCCGCGGUAAUACGUAGGGUCCGAGCGUUGUCCGGAAUUACUGGGCGUAAAGAGCUCGUAGGUGGUUUGUCGCGUUGUCCGUGAAAACUCACAGCUUAACUGUGGGCGUGCGGGCGAUACGGGCAGACUGGAGUACUGCAGGGGAGACUGGAAUUCCUGGUGUAGCGGUGGAAUGCGCAGAUAUCAGGAGGAACACCGGUGGCGAAGGCGGGUCUCUGGGCAGUAACUGACGCUGAGGAGCGAAAGCGUGGGGAGCGAACAGGAUUAGAUACCCUGGUA
rnacentral:rRNA from 1 species